rnacentral:lncRNA from 1 species
CGGGAAGCAGCCCCGCCCCUCAUGGAGGCGUGGCGUUCGCGCCCCAUUCCCGGCUGCGUCUUCUCCCUCGCUGAAAGUCUGAAGGGAGCCGGCUUACGUUUCUGCUCCGCUUGCCUAGCAAUGCUGCACUUAACAGUAUAUUGUAAAGCUUGAAGUACUGUAUUACGUUGCCUGGCUGUUACUCCAGUGCUAGGAAAGUGGUUGGAAGGAUGAGGAAGACAAUGAACAAAAGGAGGCAUUUGGAAGGAUUUGUUUUACUUCAAAAACAAGAAUACUAAGCUUCCAUCCUGCUGCUUAAUCUGUUUCAAACCCAUUACAUGUAGUAUAAAGUGUUUCGGUACUUCGUUAAAUCCAAAAGAACAGAGAUGGUCUUAAAAGGAAUUUCCC